rnacentral:misc_RNA from 1 species
GAUGAAGAACGUAGCGAAAUGAGAUAAGUAAUGUGAAUUGCAGAAUUCAGGGAAUCAUCGAAUCUUUGAACGCACAUUGCGCCCGCCAGUAUUCUGGCGGGCAUGCCUGUUCGAGCGUCAUUUCAACCAUCAAGCCCCGGGCUUGUGUUGGGGACCUGCGGCUGCCGCAGGCCCUGAAAUGCAGUGGCGGGCUCGCUGUCACUCCGAGCGUAGUAGUUACAUCUCGCUCUGGGCGUGCUGCGGGUUCCGGCCGUUAAAAGCCUUAUUUACCCAAGGUUGACCUCGGAUCAGGUAGGAAGACCCGCUGAACUUAAGCAUAUCAAUAAGCGGAGGA